rnacentral:rRNA from 1 species
GUGAGUAAUGUCUGGGAAACUGCCCGAUGGAGGGGGAUAACUACUGGAAACGGUAGCUAAUACCGCAUAACGUCGCAAGACCAAAGAGGGGGACCUUCGGGCCUCUUGCCAUCGGAUGUGCCCAGAUGGGAUUAGCUAGUAGGUGGGGUAACGGCUCACCUAGGCGACGAUCCCUAGCUGGUCUGAGAGGAUGACCAGCCACACUGGAACUGAGACACGGUCCAGACUCCUACGGGAGGCAGCAGUGGGGAAUAUUGCACAAUGGGCGCAAGCCUGAUGCAGCCAUGCCGCGUGUAUGAAGAAGGCCUUCGGGUUGUAAAGUACUUUCAGCGAGGAGGAAGGCGUUGUGGUUAAUAACCGCAGCGAUUGACGUUACUCGCAGAAGAAGCACCGGCUAACUCCGUGCCAGCAGCCGCGGUAAUACGGAGGGUGCAAGCGUUAAUCGGAAUUACUGGGCGUAAAGCGCACGCAGGCGGUCUGUCAAGUCGGAUGUGAAAUCCCCGGGCUCAACCUGGGAACUGCAUCCGAAACUGGCAGGCUAGAGUCUUGUAGAGGGGGGUAGAAUUCCAGGUGUAGCGGUGAAAUGCGUAGAGAUCUGGAGGAAUACCGGUGGCGAAGGCGGCCCCCUGGACAAAGACUGACGCUCAGGUGCGAAAGCGUGGGGAGCA